rnacentral:rRNA from 1 species
AUUGAACGCUGGCGGCAGGCCUAACACAUGCAAGUCGAGCGAGCGGCGGACGGGUGAGUAAUGUCUGGGAAACUGCCUGAUGGAGGGGGAUAACUACUGGAAACGGUAGCUAAUACCGCAUACCAUCAGAUGUGCCCAGAUGGGAUUAGCUAGUGGGUGGGGUAACGGCUCACCUAGGCGACGAUCCCUAGCUGGUCUGAGAGGAUGACCAGCUACACUGGACAUGAGGCACGGGCCAGACUCCUACGGUGGGCAGCAGUGGGGAAUAUGUCACAAUGGGGGCAAGUCGGAUGCAGCCAUGCCGCGUGUGUGAAGAAGGCCUUCGGGUUGGAAAGCACUUUCAGCGGGGAGGCGUUACCCGCAGAAGAAGCACCGGCUAACUCCGUGCCAGCAGCCGCGGUAAUUC